GUGCUCGCCUCAGCAGCACAUAACACUAAAAUUGGGAUGAUGGAGAGAUUAGCACGGCCCCUGCUCAAGGAUGACAUGCAAAUUCGUGAAGCAUUCCAUAUUUUU
ensembl:snRNA U6 U6 spliceosomal RNA